AUGCUUUGUACUGCAUGCUAGCUUGGCAAAGAUACUCGCCUCCCCUUCCCCACCUCUACAUCGUUCGCCACCGCGCCUUUUCAAUUAGUCCACUGCGAUUUAUGGACAUCGCCAGUUGUUAGCUUUUCCGGUUAUAAUUAUUACCUUGUCAUAUUGGAUGAUUUUUCGCAUUAUUCAUGGACAUUUCUUUGCGAGCCAAAUCUGAUACGUCUCGAACAUGGAGUUUUGUUUUUUAAUUUUGAAAUGCAACCUAACUCCAAAAAGCAUGAAAGUUCAUGUUGGAAAAAAUGUUAA
rnacentral:rRNA from 1 species